AGUGAACGCUGGCGGUAGGCCUAACACAUGCAAGUCGAACGGCAGCACAGUAAGAGCUUGCUCUUACGGGUGGCGAGUGGCGGACGAGUGAGGAAUACAUCGGAAUCUACUUUUUCGUGGGGGAUAACGUAGGGAAAUUUACGCUAAUACCGCAUACGACCUACGGGUGAAAGCAGGGGAUCUUCGGACCUUGCGCGAUUGAAUGAGCCAAUGUCGGAUUAGCUAGUUGGCGGGGUAAAGGCCCACCAAGGCGACGAUCCGUAGCUGGUCUGAGAGGAUGAUCAGCCACACUGGAACUGAGACGCGGUCCAGACUCCUACGGGAGGCAGCAGUGGGGAAUAUUGGACAAUGGGCGCAAGCCUGAUCCAGCCAUACCGCGUGGGUGAAGAAGGCCUUCGGGUUGUAAAGCCCUUUUGUUGGGAAAGAAAAGCAGCAGGUUAAUACCCCGCUGUUCUGACGGUACCCAAAGAAUAAGCACCGGCUAACUUCGUG
rnacentral:rRNA from 1 species